CAACCCCAACUCAGGUGAGAACACCUGCUGAGUUUAAGCAUAUAAUUAAGUGGAGGAAAAGAAACUUACAAGGAUUCCCCUAGUAACGGCGAGCGAACCAGGAAGAGCCCAGCAUGAAAAUCGGGUGGCAGCGUCACCUGAAUUGUAUUCUGUAGAAGUGUCCUUAACGGCGGACUGAGCCCAAGUCCCCUGGAAGGGGGCGCCUGAGAGGGUGACAGCCCCGUCGGGUCAGGACACUGCCGCACCACGAGGCGUUGUCAGUGAGUCAGGUUGUUUAGGAAUGCAGCUCUAAUCGGGUGGUAAAUUCCAUCCAAGGCUAAAUAUGGGCGAGAGACCGAUAGAGAACAAGUACCGCGAGGGAAAGAUGAAAAGGACUUUGAAAAGAGAGUUAAAGAGUGCUUGAAAUUGUCGAGAGGGAAGCGAAUGGAGGCCGGUGAUGUGUCUCGGUCGGAUGCGAAACGACUCAAGCUGGUCCGUCGCUCGACUCGAGGUGCGAACCAGCACAGGCCGUUGCAUCGGCACAAGCGUGGGUGGAGUACUGCCUGUUGGUUUGCUGUUGUUGUAGUCGAGGAAUGAAGCAUGUGCCCUUGGGGUGGGCCACUAUGCACCUCCACGCUUGUGGUGUUGGUUGGCGGGCUUUCCAUUCAACCCAUCUUGAAACAUGAACCAAGGAGUCUAACAUGUGUGCGAGUUGGUGGGUUUGUAAACCUGUGAGGCGUAAGGAAGCUAAUGGGCAAGAACCCCUCUUCAUGGGGUGCAUUUCCGACCAACCUUGAGCUUGUGCGAAGGGUUCAAGUGUGAGCACACCUGUUGGGACCCGAAAGAUGGUGAAAUAUGCCUGAGCAGGACGAAGCCAAAGGAAACUCUGGUGGAGGCCCAUAGCGAGACUGACGUGCAAAUCAUUCGUCUGACUUGGGUAUAGAGGCGAAAGACUAAUCGAACCAUCUAGUAGCUAGUUUCCUUCGAAGUUUCCCUCAGGAUAGUUGGAGCUCACGUGCAAGUUUUAAUGGGUAAAGCAAAUGAUUAGAGGCAUCGGGGGCGUAACGCCCUUGACCUAUUCUCAAACUUUAAAUAGGUAAGAUGGUGCGGCUGCUCCAUUGAGCCAUGCCAUAGAAUCGAGAGCUCCAAGUGGGCCAUUUUUGGUAAGCAGAACUGGCGAUGUGGAAUGAACCGAAAGUCAAGUUACGGUGCCAAACUGUGCACUAACCCAGAUCCCACAAAGGGUGUUGGUUGAUUAAGACAGCAGGACGGUGGUCAUGGAAGUUGAAAUCCGCUAAGGAGUGUGUAACAACUCACCUGCCAAAUCAACUAGCCUCGAAAAUGGAUGGCGCUGAAGCACGCGACCUAUACUCGACCGUCGGAGAAAUUGCCAAGCUUCGAUGAGUAGUAGGAUACGGGGGUCAUUGAGAAACCUUGGGCGUCAACCUGGGUGGACUAGUCCCCAGUGCAGAUAUUGGUGGUAGUAGCUGUUGGUCACUAUAAUUGCUUAAUUAAUUUCAAACAACCAAGU
rnacentral:ncRNA from 1 species